GUGAGGAAUUUUCCGCAAUGGGCGAAAGCCUGACGGAGCAAUGCCGCGUGAAGGAUGAAGGCCUAUGGGUUGUAAACUUCUUUUCUCAGAAAAGAAUUAUGACGGUAUCUGAGGAAUAAGCAUCGGCUAACUCUGUUCCAGCAGCCGCGGUAAGACAGAGGAUGCAUGCGUUAUCCGGAAUGAUUGGGCGUAAAGCGUCUGUAGGUUGUUUAAAACGUAUUCUGUCAAUGAUUAGUUCUUAACCCUAGAUAGGAAGAAUAAACUUUUAAGCUAGAGUGUGGUAGGAGCAGAGGGAAUUCCCGGUGGAGCGGUGAAAUGAGUAGAUAUCGGGAGGAACACCAAAGGAGAAGGCACUCUGCUGGGCCAAUACUAACACUGAGAGACGAAAGCGAGGGGAGCAAAUGGGAUUAGAAACCCGAGUAGUCC
rnacentral:rRNA from 1 species